AGUUUGAUCCUGGCUCAGGAUGAACGCUAGCUACAGGCUUAACACAUGCAAGUCGAGGGGCAGCAUUUUAGUUUGCUUGCAAACUGAAGAUGGCGACCGGCGCACGGGUGAGUAACACGUAUCCAACCUGCCGAUAACUCCGGAAUAGCCUUUCGAAAGAAAGAUUAAUACCGGAUAGUAUACGAAUAUCGCAUGAUAUUUUUAUUAAAGAAUUUCGGUUAUCGAUGGGGAUGCGUUCCAUUAGUUUGUUGGCGGGGUAACGGCCCACCAAGACUACGAUGGAUAGGGGUUCUGAGAGGAAGGUCCCCCACAUUGGAACUGAGACACGGUCCAAACUCCUACGGGAGGCAGCAGUGAGGAAUAUUGGUCAAUGGGCGAGAGCCUGAACCAGCCAAGUAGCGUGAAGGAUGAAGGCUCUAUGGGUCGUAAACUUCUUUUAUAUGGGAAUAAAGUUUUCCACGUGUGGAAUUUUGUAUGUACCAUAUGAAUAAGGAUCGGCUAACUCCGUGCCAGCAGCCGCGGUAAUACGGAGGAUCCGAGCGUUAUCCGGAUUUAUUGGGUUUAAAGGGAGCGUAGGUGGAUUGUUAAGUCAGUUGUGAAAGUUUGCGGCUCAACCGUAAAAUUGCAGUUGAAACUGGCAGUCUUGAGUACAGUAGAGGUGGGCGGAAUUCGUGGUGUAGCGGUGAAAUGCUUAGAUAUCACGAAGAACUCCGAUUGCGAAGGCAGCUCACUAGACUGUUACUGACACUGAUGCUCGAAAGUGUGGGUAUCAAACAGGAUUAGAUACCCUGGUAGUCCACACAGUAAACGAUGAAUACUCGCUGUUUGCGAUAUACAGUAAGCGGCCAAGCGAAAGCAUUAAGUAUUCCACCUGGGGAGUACGCCGGCAACGGUGAAACUCAAAGGAAUUGACGGGGGCCCGCACAAGCGGAGGAACAUGUGGUUUAAUUCGAUGAUACGCGAGGAACCUUACCCGGGCUUAAAUUGCAACAGAAUAUAUUGGAAACAGUAUAGCCGUAAGGCUGUUGUGAAGGUGCUGCAUGGUUGUCGUCAGCUCGUGCCGUGAGGUGUCGGCUUAAGUGCCAUAACGAGCGCAACCCUUAUCUUUAGUUACUAACAGGUUAUGCUGAGGACUCUAGAGAGACUGCCGUCGUAAGAUGUGAGGAAGGUGG
rnacentral:rRNA from 1 species